UACGUAGGUGGCAAGCGUUGUCCGGAAUUAUUGGGCGUAAAGCGCGCGCAGGCGGUCCUUUAAGUCUGAUGUGAAAGCCCACGGCUCAACCGUGGAGGGUCAUUGGAAACUGGGGGACUUGAGUGCAGAAGAGGAAAGCGGAAUUCCACGUGUAGCGGUGAAAUGCGUAGAGAUGUGGAGGAGCACCAGUGGCGAAGGCGGCUCUCUGGUCUGUAACUGACACUGAGGCGCGAAAGCGUGGGGAGCAAACAGG
rnacentral:rRNA from 1 species